rnacentral:rRNA from 1 species
CCUACGGGUGGCUGCAGUGAGGAAUAUUGCGCAAUGCACGAAAGUCUGAACCAGCCAUGCCGCGUGAAUGAUGACGGCCCUCUGGGUUUUAAGCUCCUUUUAUAGGGGAGUAAAUGCAGAUACGUGUAUCUGUAUGAAUGUACUGUACGAAUAAGGAUCGGCUAAGUCCGUGCCAGCAGCCGCGGCAAUACGGAGGAGCCGAGCGUUAUUCGGAUUUAUUGGGUUUAAAGGGAGCGUAGAUGGUUGGGUAAGUUAGUUGUGAAAUCCUGGGGCUCAACUUCAGAAUUGCAAGUGAUACUGUCAGGCUAGAGUAUCGGUGAGGUAGGCGGAAUUCGUGGUGUAGCGGUGAAAUGCUUAGAUAUCACGAAGAACACCGAUUGCGAAGGCAGCUUACUAAACUGCGACUGACGUUGAGGCGCGAAAGCGUGGGUAGCAAACAGGAUUAGAUACCCCUGUAGUC